CCUACGGGUGGCAGCAGUGAGGAAUAUUGGUCAAUGGACGAGAGUCUGAACCAGCCAAGUAGCGUGAAGGAUGACUGCCCUAUGGGUUGUAAACUUCUUUUAUAUGGGAAUAAAAUGUUCCACGUGUGUGAUUUUGUAUGUACCAUAUGAAUAAGGAUCGGCUAACUCCGUGCCAGCAGCCGCGGUAAUACGGAGGAUCCGAGCGUUAUCCGGAUUUAUUGGGUUUAAAGGGCGCGUAGGUGGAUUGUUAAGUCAGUUGUGAAAGUUUGCGGCUCAACCGUAAAAUUGCAGUUGAAACUGGCAGUCUUGAGUACAGUAGAGGUGGGCGGAAUUCGUGGUGUAGCGGUGAAAUGCGUAGAUAUCACGAAGAACUCCGAUUGCGAAGGCAGUUCACUGGACUGCAACUGACACUGAGGCUCGAAAGUGUGGGUAUCAAACAGGAUUAGAUACCCUUGUAGUC
rnacentral:rRNA from 1 species